AUGCAAAACAAACAUGGUCAGUUCCACACAGUUGACGAGAAACAUCCUUCAAAUAGUUCACCUAAAUCCUCGGUUGCAUUUGUUUUCUGUCCCUUUGUUGUUCGUAAGUUGCUUUGCUUCUUGGCUGCAAUUGGUCUUUGCGCCAAUGAAGUGACUACGCUGAAGUGCUUUUUUCCUUUCCGAAAAGGGGGUUUGCCCCGGCCUCUGCAUGCAGAAGUGCAAAGGAUGCCUUUGUGUAUGAAUGGACCGUGUCUGAAUGCAUUCAUCAUAUUGUUUCAUGUAGUAAGCUUACCUUCUUUGUUGUAG
rnacentral:rRNA from 1 species